rnacentral:rRNA from 1 species
GACGAACGCUGGCGGCGUGCUUAACACAUGCAAGUCGAACGGAAAGGCCCUGCUUUUGUGGGGUGCUCGAGUGGCGAACGGGUGAGUAACACGUGAGUAACCUGACCUUGACUUUGGGAUAACUUCAGGAAACUGGGGCUAAUACCGGAUAGGAGAUCCUGCUGCAUGGUGGGGGUUGGAAAGUUUCGGCGGUUGGGGAUGGACUCGCGGCUUAUCAGCUUGUUGGUGGGGUAGUGGCUUACCAAGGCUUUGACGGGUAGCCGGCCUGGGAGGGUGACCGGCCACAUUGGUACUGAGAUACGGCCCAGACGCCUACGGGAGGCAGCAGGGGGGAAUAUGGCCCAAUGGGCGGAAGUCUGAGGCAGCAACGCCGCGGUCGGGAUGACGGCCUUCGGGUUGUAAACCGCUUUCGCCUGUGACGAAGCGGGAGUGACGGUAAUGGGUAAAGAAGCACCGGCUAACUACGUG